GUGGGGAAUAUUGCACAAUGGGGGAAACCCUGAUGCAGCAACGCCGCGUGAGUGAUGACGGUCUUCGGAUUGUAAAGCUCUGUCUUCAGGGACGAUAAUGACGGUACCUGAGGAGGAAGCCACGGCUAACUACGUGCCAGCAGCCGCGGUAAUACGUAGGUGGCAAGCGUUGUCCGGAUUUACUGGGCGUAAAGGGAGCGUAGGUGGAUAUUUAAGUGGGAUGUGAAAUACUCGGGCUUAACCUGGGUGCUGCAUUCCAAACUGAAUAUCUAGAGUGCAGGAGAGGAAAGUAGAAUUCCUAGUGUAGCGGUGAAAUGCGUAGAGAUUAGGAAGAAUACCAGUGGCGAAGGCGACUUUCUGGACUGUAACUGACACUGAGGCUCGAAAGCGUGGGGAGCAAACAGGAUUAGAUACCCUGGUAGUCC
rnacentral:rRNA from 1 species